GCCAGCCCGCUCAGAAACUCAAGGAAUUGAGGGGCCCGCACAAGCGGUGGAGCAUGUGGUUAAUUCGAAGCAACGCGAAGAACUUACCAGGCCUUGACAUGCAGAGAACUUUCCAGAGAUGGAUUGGUGCCUUCGGGAACUCUGACACAGGUGCUGCAUGGCUGUCGUCAGCUCGUGUCGUGAGAUGUUGGGUUAAGUCCCGCAACGGGCGCAACCCUUGCCUUUAGUUGCCAGCAGUUCGGCUGGGCACUCUAAAGGGACUGCCGGUGUUAAACCGGAGGAAGGUGGGGAUGACGUCAAGUCCUCAUGGCCUUUAUGACCAGGGCUACACACGUACUACAAUGGCCGAUACAAAGGGCAGCGACACUGCGAGGUGAAGCCAAUCCCGUAAAAUCGGUCUCAGUCCGGAUUGGAGUCUGCAACUCGACUCCAUGAAGUUGGAAUCGCUAGUAAUCGUGAAUCAGAAUGUCACGGUGAAUACGUUCCCGGGCCUU
rnacentral:rRNA from 1 species